rnacentral:tRNA from 1 species
UGAUAAUUAGUUUAAAUAAAAACAAAUGAUUUCGACUCAUUAAACCAUGAACUAACCCAUGAUUAUCAU